GUUCAGGAUGAACGCUAGCUACAGGCUUAACACAUACAAGUCGAGGGGCAUCAGGAAGAAAGCUUGCUUUCUUUGCUGGCGACCGGCGCACGGGUGAGUAACACGUAUCCAACCUGCCCUUUACUCGGGGAUAGCCUUUCGAAAGAAAGAUUAAUACCCGAUAGCAUAAUGAUUCCGCAUGGUUUCAUUAUUAAAGGAUUCCGGUAAAGGAUGGGGAUGCGUUCCAUUAGGUUGUUGGUGAGGUAACGGCCCACCAAGCCUUCGAUGGAUAGGGGUUCUGAGAGGAAGGUCCCCCACAUUGGAACUGAGACACGGUCCAAACUCCUACGGGAGGCAGCAGUGAGGAAUACUGGUCAAUGGGCGCUAGCCUGAACCAGCCAAGUAGCGUGAAGGAUGAAGGCUCUAUGGGUCGUAAACUUCUUUUAUAUAAGAAUAAAGUGCAGUAUGUAUACUGUUUUGUAUGUAUUAUAUGAAUAAGGAUCGGCUAACUCCGUGCCAGCAGCCGCGGUAAUACGGAGGAUCCGAGCGUUAUCCGGAUUUAUUGGGUUUAAAGGGAGCGUAGGUGGACUGGUAAGUCAGUUGUGAAAGUUUGCGGCUCAACCGUAAAAUUGCAGUUGAUACUGUCAGUCUUGAGUACAGUAGAGGUGGGCGGAAUUCGUGGUGUAGCGGUGAAAUGCUUAGAUAUCACGAAGAACUCCGAUUGCGAAGGCAGCUCACUGGACUGCAACUGACACUGAUGCUCGAAAGUGUGGGUAUCAAACAGGAUUAGAUACCCUGGUAGUCCACACAGUAAACGAUGAAUACUCGCUGUUUGCGAUAUACAGUAAGCGGCCAAGCGAAAGCAUUAAGUAUUCCAUCUGGGGAGUACGCCGGCAACGGUGAAACUCAAAGGAAUUGACGGGGGCCCGCACAAGCGGAGGAACAUGUGGUUUAAUUCGAUGAUACGCGAGGAACCUUACCCGGGCUUAAAUUGCAGUGGAAUGAUGUGGAAACAUGUCAGUGAGCAAUCACCGCUGUGAAGGUGCUGCAUGGUUGUCGUCAGCUCGUGCCGUGAGGUGUCGGCUUAAGUGCCAUAACGAGCGCAACCCUUAUCUUUAGUUACUAACAGGUUAUGCUGAGGACUCUAGAGAGACUGCCGUCGUAAGAUGUGAGGAAGGUGGGGAUGACGUCAAAUCAGCACGGCCCUUACGUCCGGGGCUACACACGUGUCACAAUGGGGGGUACAGAAGGCAGCUAGCGGGUGACCGUAUGCUAAUCCCAAAAUCCUCUCUCAGUUCGGAUCGAAGUCUGCAACCCGACUUCGUGAAGCUGGAUUCGCUAGUAAUCGCGCAUCAGCCACGGCGCGGUGAAUACGUUCCCGGGCCUUGUACACACCGCCCGUCAAGCCAUGGGAGCCGGGGGUACCUGAAGUACGUAACCGCAAGGAUCGUCCUAGGGUAAAACUGG
rnacentral:rRNA from 1 species